UCUGCUUUCUUGGCUUUCUUCUCAUCCUUUGUUUUCUUAAUCCUCUCUUUGAUUUCACUACAGGUAGGGCUCAGAUUAUAAGAUAUACAAUCCAUAUUUGUGAGAGGAAAAACAAGAGCAGGUAGAAAUGAAAAUAAAACUCUACAUUUCAUAAAAAGAGCGUAAAGAAAAACAUGUGAAACGUGUUAGAAAACAGAUGUCUGUAAGAAUAGAAUGAAAGCUUUCAAACAGUAAGGUGCAUAUAUAAGAAACACACCGCAGAGCAGCUUCCCUGGCGGCAUCUCGAACUUCAGGCUUCUCAGCUCUUUUCUUCUGAAUGACUUCCAAAGUGGCACCUACAAUGGACCUAGAGUAUGGCUUCUUGGUAGCACGGCGUCUCUUCUUCACAGCUUCUUGGGCAAUGUCCUGCACAUCACAUUCAUAAAAUUAAAUAAGAUGCAUGCAACAAGUUAUGGAACUACAGUACAUGCUGAUGAUCUAAAAUUUCGAUAAUAACUUGGUGCAUGGUAAACUCAUGUUAAACUCAACACAAGUAACUACAAAAUCUUCACAUUGUAACUAUGUUCGUUGAUUAAAAUUUUAUUUCCACAUGUUCAGAUUGUUUUUGUUCAAUUUAUAUUACAAGUAUAUCAAUAAAAAGUGAAACAAUGACCUUCUUGUGUUGCUUUCUGUACAUGGCAGUCCAUGUGAGCUUUGAAGGCUUCAAACGGUUGUGGAAAUACCUCUUACAUUUCGAGUUCACAAAUAGAAAAACCUGUAAAAUCAACAAAGAAACUCUUCUAUCAGAAAAAUAAAAUUAAACAAAUUUUAUCAAACACAACACAUAUAUUUCAAUAAAUAAAUGAAUAAACCCAAAACUCAACACUAGUAAAAAAUAUAUCACCUGUGAGUCACUACGAAUAAAUCUGAUGCCUCUUCCUGGGUAGAUCUUUGCGCCACUGAAUCGGCAGAGUUCAGUCCUGAUAUGGCAAAAUCAACUACUAAUUAGUACACUUGGAGCAUUAAAUAAAAAACACAGCCACUAAUUCAAUGAAAAUACAAUGACAUGGAAUGGUCCAGAAUUAAUCAAAAUCAUGACUGACAAAUUUCUAACAAUCUAAUUUGCCAUAAUUUCUAACAAUCACGGACACCCCAAACACAACCCCAACACUUACACAACAACACUAGUAAUAAUUUCAAAAAAUGAAUAAAUUAAAUGUAAUCACAAGUGUCGGUGGGCAUGCCGUUUUUCAGAGGUGUAUCUGCUACAUAGUUUAAGAGCAACUCAAUCCCCAUAAAUAGAAAUUGUAUUUGUAAGUCCUCAUCUCAAGUAACCAACAAAUUAAAUCAAAAACAGUAACCUAUAUCUUGCUAAUAAUUUCAGGUAAACUAUAAAUUGUUGAAUAUAAGGUCAUUUCAGAACUAAUUGUAAUCACAUUCUAGGACAUUCAGAAUAAUGAAUACCAAACAAUUUUUUGAUAAAAGACGUUAGAAUUUUGGAUUCAAUCAUACUAGAUCUCGCUUUAUAACAUAAACCCUAGGGAAACUAAAUAAGCCAAAACAAAUCCACAAGUUAAAACAGUGUAAAUGAUUCCAGAUUACUGUGAAUAAGAUGAAUAAUCAACACAUGCAAUAUAGAUUUUAACAGAAAAAACGAGUUAACGGAUGCAGAAUUUAGAAUCGUUGAUGAAAAUACUAGAGAUGAUCGAAGGAGCCGGCGUGAAUACAUACUUGAGAACCAUUGCUUCGUUGGUGGUGGUGGUGGUGCUGCUGGUGGUUGUGGCGGCUACGGCGGCUGAGGAAAACCCUAACUCCCGAAAUGCACCUCUAUAUGAUUUGUUGUAAGCACAAAUUCACGUAAAUGCGCUUCUGAUGGUGGUGCUGCUGGUGGUUGUGGCGGCUACGGCGGCUGAGGAAAACCCUAACUCCCGAAAUGCACCUCUAUAUGAUUUGUUGUAAGCACAAAUUCACGUAAAUGCGCUUCUGCUCCGAUCUGUUUUCCUAUUGGGCCAUGCUGAAAUAACCCAUCUAUAGGGGGUGUAUUUGAAUGAUAUUUUUUUAAAUACUAUACCCCCACCCACACGAUAUUCAAUAUGCUUAAUAAAAUAUAUUUGGGCAUAUAUACUCUACAAAAUGUUAUGUUUUAUUUUUAGAUAACGCAAAUGAUAUGUUUUAUUUGUAGAUAACUCAAAAGAAAACUUUUCUUUGUAAGAAAAGUUAUAUUUUUUAAAUUUAUAAAUUAUUGAUUUUAAAAAAAAUACAUAUAUUUAAAAAGAUAUAUGCUAUAAGUGUUAGGAUCUUUUAUACCGAAAAUUUUUCGAUUAAAAUUUAUUUUUAUAAGAAAAACAUUUUCAAAUUUUUUAGUUUAAAUAACAUUGUAAAUUAAAAUUCAGUUUUAAAAAAAUGUCAAUUUUCUAUAUUAAAACAAGUGAAGAUUCCAUUUGGUCUCUGAAAAUGAAAACUUUAAUCAAUAAGAAAAAAAUUUGAAUAUGAAUACAAUUUAUUAUUAGAUAGGAUAAGUGUACUUAAAUAUUACUUAUGAAGAAAAAAUAAAGGAAAAUUAUACAUGUGAAGGGCAAAAUUAUGCACUUAUUUUAUUUUUAUUAAAAAUAAUUAAAGUCACACUUAAAAAAUUGUAUUUAACUCUUCUUUUUUUUAAAAUGGAACAACCUAAUCAUGCUUCUUUACAUUUAUUUACAUGUUGUUUGGUUGAUGAUUGAAACAUGGAGAAAAGAAAAGAGACAAAGUGAAUAUAAAAUGAAGUGGUUACUUAAUAGUUUAUAUUAUAAAAUGUGAAAAAUAAAAAAUGAUAAUAUAAAAAAUUGUGCAUUUUUUUAGUUAAAAAAGUGUGCAUUUAUAACUGACAAAUAUCCUUAAAUACAAAUUAGAUAUAAUAAAAUAUAAAAAGUUCAUUAAAAUUAAGAAAAAUAUAUAUUUUUUUAAAAUCUGUAAAAAAUACAACAAAUUUCAAUUUAAAAUAUUACAAAUAUUACUUUAAUAAUUUACUGAUAAAUAUGCCAGAUAAAUAACUGAAGCAUUUUAUGUGAUUUUAAAUUCGUAAAGUUUUUAGUAUUCAUUUUAUCUCCUACUAAAUGACUACAUUAUUAUCUUAUUUUUUAUCUCAUUUAUCUACUUGAAAUUUUAUUUAUUUUCUUCAUCAACCAAGCAAAAUAUAAAGAAGGAACGGUUAAAAUAUUUCUUAUUGAAAUAUUAUUUUAUUGUUAUAAUUUAAUCAUUAUUAUAUGGGCAUAUAUAUUAGUUAUUUAUUAAAUUAAAAUAUUUAAUUUAUAAAUUAAUUAAAUAAAAUUAAAAAUAACUAAAUUUUUAUUUAAAAUAUAAUUAAUUGAGUAUGAUUUAAAUAUGAGUGAAUUUCAACAUGGUUUAUUUUAGAAUAAUGAAAAUUUAUCGAUAUACUAAUAAUAUAUUAUAUAUAUUAAAAUUUUUUAUAUAUUAAUAUAUAUAUAUAUAUUAUAUAUAUAUAUUAUAUAUAUUAUAUAUAUUAUAUAUAUAAGAUAUUGAAAUACACUGUCAAUAUAAAAGGAUUUUCACCAUCACUUAAUUAUAGACUUGGAUAUUAAUAAGAAGUUUGAUUUUUUUAUUUUAAAAAAUCUAUAAAGUAAUCAGAAACGGGUGAUGGUGAAUGACCCCGGUGUAAACAUUCUUACUAACAGUAUACAAGUCAUAUUAUAAUAUAUAUAUAUAUAUAUAUAUAUAUUAUUAUAUAUAUACUAUAUAUAUAUAUACAUAUAUAUAUAUUAAUAUAUAUAUAUAUAUUAUAUAUAUAUAUUAUAAUAGUAUAUAUAUAUAUAUAUAUCAUAUAUAAUAAUAUACUUAUAUAUAUAAUUAUAUAUAUAUAGGUGAUCAUAGUAUCAUAUAUGACAUCAAACAUAUAUUAUUCUUCCUUGUUAAAAAUAUUCAAGAAUAAAAAGUAUCAGUUGAGAAAAGGCAGAAGUUAACAAAGAUAUAUACAAACUUAUUAUUUAUAUCUUAGUGUUAUGAAUACUCCAUUCUCUUAUCGAUUAACAUAGCAUAUGCAAUGCUCAUCUUUUUAUUAUAUUUUACAUUUGAAAUAUAUUGAUAUCAUAUAUAUAUAUAUAUAUAUAUAUAUAUAUAUAUAUAUAUAUAUAUAUAUAUAUAUUAUAUAUAUAUAUAUAAUUAUAAAUAUAUAUCAUAUAUAUAUAUAUAUAUUAUAUGACUUGUAUAAUUAAUAAUUAAUUAUUAUUAUUACUUUAUUAUUUAUUUAUUUUCAAUAGAAAUGUAGUAAGUUGUCUAGAUAUAUUUUUCUCAAGGACUAAAAGUUACUUUUAUUUCUAUAAAAUUAAAUUAGAGUUUUUCUCAAUGAUGAAAAGAACUUUCCCUCUAAAAAAAAUUCUAUAAAAUUUAAAUUUAAAUUUCACAAAAGUUGUAUUAAUUCUAGGAAUUUUAAAUUUUGUAUAUUUUGCGUCGCCACGAGAAUAGUAGGCCUCAUAGUAAGGAUUUUAAACUUAGGACACAUUAAUCUAAUAUUUGGAAAUUUUGCAGUGCACCUUAUUAAUUUCUUAGGUCCCGCAAAAAUUCUGAAAUGCCCCUUAGUUUUCAGGGAUGCAUCUUCAUACGCAUUUAAUGCACACUCAACGUAGGUCAUUCUGAUUGAGGCACUAUAUAUUGGGUUUUUUUUUAUUUCGGAUAUGCAUCUUCGAGAUACUUAUGUAGUUACAUUUUUGGAAUGUUUGCAGACCACUAACAGAUACCAACAACAUGUAAUUUAACAAAAUAAAGAUAACAUUCAUAACAUAAAAUAAGCAUUAUAUAGAUGAAAUACACAAAUGCAAGAUGAGGAUAUGUAGUCAUUCUGAUUUGUGUAAAGAAAAUAGAAUGAUAGGCCUUAUUUAUAGAAGUUGUUGAGGAAUAAGGAUCUUACAAACAUAAUCAUAUCUGCGUGCAAGACUUGGAAGAUACAUAUCUGGAUCCGCCUUUUUUUUCAAAAAUAUAAGUUUAUCCGAAGAUGCAUCUCUUGAUUAUCCCAUGUUUUGUUGUUUUUUUUAAUAAUUAGAAGGUGUGUCUAGAGAUGCAUUUCUAGAAUCAACCAAAAUUAUACAAAACAAAACCAAUUAAUUAUAUAUAGCAUAAUUAAUCCAUGCAGAGCAGAAUUUCAAAAACAAAAAUUGUCCAAAAAAUAUCACUUGAUUUUAUAACAUUAUGUAAUGUGUUACUUACAAAAAAAUGUGUUACAUUGUUAUUUUAACAACUAAAACGCAUCAAAAUAAAUGUCACUACCUAAAUCUAUUGGUGGCUCAUUCUUCAACCAUUCCUUAUUUGUUUCUCAUUCAAUGUCGCUCAACUUGGUGAACUCUUCCAUCCUUUCAAGAAAAUGUGUCGUCCACUCCAGUGAUGUCUUUGGUAUAGGACAUACUGGUUUCAAAUAAACUUGAACAAAAUAUUAUUUUCUGAUAGCCAGCGGAUACACGUGAUGCGUUCGGAUAGAUUUUGAGGUGGCUUAUUCCAAAGUGGAAAAAAUGUUUUAUAAAAAUCAUAUCAUGUUAAAUCAAUGCACACCCUAUCAUAAGCACUUGCUAUGUGAUGUCUCAUUUUUGGAAAGUGCGUCCAUUUAUCAAACGGAGUCGAGCCACUAAGACAAGGAACAAAAGCAUUGAGAAUUGUAUCAUAAUUUAAUUUGUUCCCAUAUAGCUUUGUGUAUGAUUCCUUAUGCAUCGUCAUCUCUUGUAUAAGAUGACAACAGAUAAAUUGGUGGUCCUCCUCUUCUUUACCGAAUAAAUCUGAAACAGCUCGAAAACCACAGUUGUCUUCACUUUCCAUUCUGUCAUGAUAGAUAUGUUUGAUUUAUCAUCCUUUGUCACACCAUCAUCAUCAAAAUGGAGUCUUGUCCAGUGAGUGCAAACUUCACCCAUACGAAUUGGUUUUUCAAGCUUUAGUCUCUUUGAAAUUAAACAAGCACAUGGAAGACUGUAAGUAUCCAUAAGUGUACAUCCACACUUUGAGCUAUCUGAACUUGUUUUAUCGCUCGCUUGGCUUCGUGAAACAUAAAAUUCAAAGUCGCCUGAGAUAUAUUUCCAACUAACUGAGAAUAAAGAAUAUCGUCUUUGAAACAAUUUUCUAGCACAAUAAUUCUCCAACCAAAAGAUGUAUGUAUCUCACUAUGUUGGUUUCUGGGCAUUUGGUCCACGACAUCCCAAUCUUGACAAAAAUCACCUUUAUUAUUUCCCAAUCAAUUCUUCAGUCUAGCAUAUGCAGAUUCAACUAUGUUAGUUGUUGUAUUGUCAAAGUGUCGAACCUGAUAGGUCCAUGCACAAACAAUCUUCUCUUUUAACUGAUCCAAAAUAAUUCCCUCAACAUAUUAAAGAAAAUCUGGAUAUAUCGCGCACACACACUCCUAAAAUUUAGAACAAAGUCGACAUAAUUCUUUCGUGGAAGAAUUUAUUAUAGAAUUUUAUGCAUCCAUUAUAUUUUCCACCACCACACUAGGUUUGACAAGUUUUCCAUCUUCAUGUUUGAUUAUGUGAUACUUACAAAGUAAUGCAGAUGAAGUAGGAAACAUCGUUGCGACCUAAUUUAUCAAUGCGGUGUCACGAUCAGUGAUUAUGAUUAGAGGCAUAUUUUAUUGGUCCUUCAACAUAAUCUUGCAUAUUUCCAAAGUCCAUGUAACAUUGUCCUCUUUUUUCAGAUUCCAAUAAUGCAAAACCGACUGAAUAAGUCAUAUUAGUAGAAGUAACACCAAUAACUUCCAGGAGUUGAAGUUUAUAUGUGUUUGUUUUAUAUGUUGAGUCAAUUAUGAGCACGGAGGGAAAGGUGUUGAACAACUUGACAAAAUCGGGAUGACUCUAAAAUAUAUCUCAAACAGUGACCUUAUCCUAACAAAAUAUUUACCUCGAAACAUAGAUGUCAUCAUCCAAAGGCUUCAAGAGUUGUUACAUCUUAGAUUUUGGUCCUUUUAUGACCUUGUUGUCUUGAGCACGCAUGUUGUAUAUUUGUUUGAUAUUUGAAACAUUUAGAGGAAUUUUCUAUUUAAAAGAUGGGAGUAUGUUUGUCGGCGCCACCAUGUUUAAUGUCAUGUCCAAAACAAGUUUACUAUCCUCUUGCACAAGACGGCAUACAAUGGGAUGACCGACAAGCUUGUCAUGCAAUACAUGAUUAUGUAUACCGGAAAUCACAUUAAAUUUUCAUGUCUCAUUCGCCAUAUGGUAUUUGCGCAAUUUAAACGGACACUCACAUUUCCUCGAUUAAGUGUCAUCUCAUUUCAACUUCUUAAUCUUUUUAGCAUGUUUUUUCCUCACUCACAUGUUUUCCGGGAAACUUCCCAAAAGGUCACUCAUCCAAAUACUACUCCAAGUUAAGCACGCUUAAUUAUGUAAUUCUUAUUUGUUAGGCUAUCGAAAAGAAGAUGCAUUUUAUUCGUAUAGGUAAUACCAAUUAAUCUUUAUAAGCCUUCCUUCAACCAUGCAGCCCCAUACCUGCACAACCUCAAGAUCCCUCUCAUUUUGAUGUGAAUUCAAUUUUUCCCUAGAGCUGCUAGGAGCGUCUCAUUGUCAUGUCUCGUGCACCGACAACCACUCCCUCGCCCUCGGGUCUAACAUGUAACCACUAUAUGUCCUCUCCGGCCACGGGUGUUACACAUGCCACCUCUUUCGCAUAUCAUCGUUACAAACAGUUGCCUUCUAUUUGAAACAUUGUCGAACCUUCCAAUUACAACGUCAAUCCCCAAUUUUUCGACCUCCCUACGGACUCAUUGUAGCAUAUGCCACGAACAAUAAACACUUCUUUAUUUGUAAAUUGUGCACGAACAUCUACCUCGACAACAACCUGUCGAACACCCGAUUUAACAUCAUAAUUUGCUUCAUCAAGUUGAACAUCAUCAUUCACUUCAUCCAGGUUUAACAUCAUGUUUCACUUCGACCGAUUUACCAUCAACACUCACAAAAGUUUUGGGAAAUAUAUAUGAGUACACCAUACAUAUUACCACCAAUAACAUAAAAAUAGUGUUAAAAUCAUACUAACAGGACAAUCCAGAGAUGCACAUCCGAACAACACCUAACUUCAUUCGGAGAUGCAUAUCCAGAUUCAACGUGCAUAUUUCAACACAUAUUCAAGAUUAAUGCAAGGAAUGAAAGAUGAAAUUAAUGAUUUUCACCUGCAACUCCAGCUUAUUUUGCUUCAUUUAAAGUGAUAAAAAUACAUGAAUGAUGUUUUUGUGUUGAAAAUUUUAUCGAGAAUGAGAGAAUUUUUUUUAAGGAUUUUGGAAUAGAGUUUCUUUUUUAGCAUGAAGAAGAAGCUCAUGCAAGAUGGUGUUUUAUCAAAUCAGGUUGGGCAUUCCAGGGACGCAUCUUUAAAAAUAUCACAUACUUGUUAUUUUAGUUGGUUGCGUGAAUAACAAAUCCAUAUAAAUGAGUGUAUGAAAUAUUUCAGAGAUGCAUCUCCGAAUACACCUAAAUAGCAUAAAAGAUGCAUCUCUAGAUCAUAUUUAUUUAAAUCUAAUGUGAAUCUCCUAAAAAUGCAUUUUAAUAUAUUUUGAAUGCAUUUUUAAAAGCAUUUUCAAAUAUCUAAGGAGUAGGACCACCAAAAAUAGAAAGAGCAUUUUUCCAAAGCUUUUAACACCAAAAAGUGCCCUCAUAGCCUCAUGUCAUGUCUGAGACACAGAAAGUGACAAGAUGGAACUUGAAAUCAAAGUAAGUUCUCUAUUUAAUUUGCUUAGUAUGUUCGGAGAUAUGUUUACGGUGCUAAGAGAUUGAAGAAUUAGAGACAGUAAUGGCUUAUUUAUUUUAGUUUAAAAUUUUAAAAGAAUGUAUUUUCAAAAUUAAUUUUUAUAAAAAUAAUUUUAAAAAUAUUACAAUUUUUUUAAUUUUAGUUUUUUUAAUUGAACUAUUAAUUUUGAUAUCUUAUUACAUACAAAAUCAAACCAUUAUCAAAAUCAUACUUAAUAGUCAAAAAAAAUUUCAAUAAAAGAUGAUAUAACUAAAAUAACAUUUAAAAAUUAUUAUUUAAAUCAAAUUUGAAAUUUUUAUAAAAAUUUGUUUUGUUUAUAUCAAAAUUUGAUUUCCAACUAUACAAGAACUUGAGUGAAAAAAAUAAUUGAAAAAAAUGGGACAUUGUUACCAACAACUUCCAAAUCUAGAACCAAUUAAUUUAUUUGUUGUUGCCAACAAGAACAUCAAAAUUCUAGAAUAAACGAAGAUGCCCCCAACAAGAACAUCAAAAUUCUAGAAUCUGCAUAAAAGGCUAAUAUCACCCAAAUUACUCCUAGUUUUUAUCAGCAUGUAAUCCUAAUUAAUUUUCUUUUCACAAUAAUUUUGGUGACACAUUCUUGACGAAGAUCAUUUGCUUCAGCAUGAAGAUUAGAAUGUCUUGCCCAGAGUUACAAAUGGCUACAUAAUGAUUGCAUAAAUGGUUCAUCUACAAAUCUAACCCUAUUUAGAAUACAAAGUACGAAUGUAACACUUAAUACAAACACACAGAGAAGUGAAGGAAAAACUACUUCAGAUUUUAGCAGAUGUUGGUGGGGGAGAGGUUUAACACACAUCAGGAGAGGUUUGUGCAAUUUGACAAAGCAAAAGAAAUAGACAAUACUAAUUUGCAACAUUAGAAUAAAAAGCAUGUUUGAGCUAUGAGACUCGAGACAGACAACCAUUUAAACAAUGCAAAUUAUUAGCAGACAAAAUAUAGAAUUGCUAGUAAAAUGCAUUCAGCAAUAAGGUAGUGUCUGAAGCUCCAAACACGAGUGAUAAUAAGGUCAGCUAAUCGAGCAAAUAAAAUAUAAAUAUAGAAGUUUAAAAACAAGUGUAUUCAAAUUACAGCCAAAAUUGCAACUACUUAACGUUUACCGCCGCCGCCGCCCAAUUUAGGACCCUUGGGCAAACCUCCUUUCUGAACAUUGCCUUUGCCUGACUUUUGUGCCUUAGAUGCUACUUCUGCUUUCUUGGCUUUCUUCUCAUCCUUUGUUUUCUUAAUCCUCUCUUUGAUUUCACUGCAGGAUGGACUCGGUUAAUUAGAUGUGCCAGUCAUAAUUAAAAGAGAAAAACAAGGGCAAAGAGAAAUGAAAAUGAGACUGAAAAACAGGGAUAAGAUAAACAAGUCUCCUAAAAGAAUUCUAAAACAGUAAGUAGAAAUCAAACAAGAAACACACCGCAGAGCAGCCUCCCUAGCUGCAUCUCGAACUUCAGGCUUCUCGGCUCUUUUCUUCUGAAUGACUUCCAGGGUAGCACCAACAAUUGACCUAGAGUAUGGCUUCUUGGUAGCACGACGUCUCUUCUUUACAGCUUCUUGAGCAAUGUCCUGCACAUCACAUUCAUGAGAUCAAAUCACAUGCAUGCAAUAAGUUGGGC
rnacentral:lncRNA from 1 species